AACGAACGCUGGCGGCAGGCUUAACACAUGCAAGUCGAACGCACCUUUCGGGGUGAGUGGCAGACGGGUGAGUAACGCGUGGGAAUCUACCCUUCUCUACGGGAUAGCUCCGGGAAACUGGAAUUAAUACCGUAUACGUCCUGAGGGAGAAAGAUUUAUCGGGGAAGGAUGAGCCCGGGUUGGAUUAGCUAGUUGGUGGGGUAAAGGCCUACCGAGGCGACGAUCGAUAACUGGUCUAAGAGGAUGAUCAGCAACAUUGGGACUGAGACACAGCCCAAACUCCUGCGGGAGGCAGCAGUGGGGAAUAUUGGACAAUGGGCGCAAGCCUGAUCCAGCCAUGCCGCGUGAGUGAUGAAGGCCCUAGGGCUGUAGAGCUCUUUCAGUGGGGACGAUAAUGACGGUACCCACAGAAGAAGCCCCGGCUAACUUCGUGCCAGCAGCCGCAGUAA
rnacentral:rRNA from 1 species